UAUGGCUAUAUCAUGUUGAAACACCGGUUCCCAUACUAUCAUUGAAGUUAAGCAAUGUUGAGCCUGGUCAGUACCUAGAUGGAUGAGCACUUGAGAAUACCAGGAGCCGUAAG